CGGGUUGCAGCAGUGGGGAAUUUUGGACAAUGGGGGAAACCCUGAUCCAGCAAUGCCGCGUGAGUGAAGAAGGCCUUCGGGUUGUAAAGCUCUUUUGUCAGGGAAGAAACACCGGCUCUAACACAGUCCGGGAAUGACGGUACCUGAAGAAUAAGCACCGGCUAACUACGUGCCAGCAGCCGCGGUAAUACGUAGGGUGCAAGCGUUAAUCGGAAUUACUGGGCGUAAAGCGUGCGCAGGCGGUUAUACAAGACAGGCGUGAAAUCCCCGGGCUUAACCUGGGAAUGGCGCCUGUGACUGUAUAGCUAGAGUGUGUCAGAGGGGGGUAGAAUUCCACGUGUAGCAGUGAAAUGCGUAGAUAUGUGGAGGAAUACCAAUGGCGAAGGCAGCCCCCUGGGAUAACACUGACGCUCAUGCACGAAAGCGUGGGGAGCAAACAGGAUUAGAUACCCCGGU
rnacentral:rRNA from 1 species